CUUUGAGCGUAUCUAAAAACUGUUGUGUAUAAUUUUUUUUAUUAAUUUUUUUUAUUAAUUUUUUUAAAAUUAUAUUAUAUUAUAUUAAAAAAUAACAUAUAAAUUGUUUAUCCUAAAAUCUGAAUUUAUUCCUAGAUAUAGACUUUGAAAAAUAAAAAAAUCAUAACAUUUUUUUGUUUUAUCAUUAAGUAAUACUUAUAUAAAAUCUAAAUUAAAAAUCUAAAUACCAAAAAUUGAAUAUUAAAAAGUGAAAAAAAAGAAAAAGAAAAAAGGAAUAGAUUUUGCCUUAGGUUAUUUCACCUAAACAUUUUCGCGCCUAACACCUUCGAUCCCGCGCUGAAUUUUUCAUUCCUUUGCAAUUUUCGUUCGUCUGCAAGUUUGGUUCCUCAAAAUUUUCGUUCGUGUGCAAGUUUGGUUCCUCAAAAUUUUCGUUCGUCUGCAAACGGAGGACCGCCGUUCGGCCUUCCUCUGCCUGUUGCGCCGCCACCCCUGCUCG
rnacentral:lncRNA from 1 species